rnacentral:rRNA from 1 species
GUCCACGCCGUAAACGAUGAGUGCUGUGUGUCUUGGGUAUUGACCCCCGAGGCGCCGUAGCUAACGCGUUAAGCACUCCGCCUGGGGAGUACGGUCGCAAGACUAAAACUCAAAGGAAUUGACGGGGGCCCCGCACAAGCGGUGGAGCAUGUGGUUUAAUUCGACGCAACGCGCAGAACCUUACCAGGGCUAGAAAAGGUAGGAAUCCGGGAGAAAUCUUGGAGUGCUCGCAAGAGAGCCUGCAUCCAGGUGCUGCAUGGCUGUCGU